CUUGGGGGAGAGGAGCUGGUGGCGCCCCUUCCUCAUAACCAUGUCUUGGCCCGUCUCAGGCACAGACUCCCGCGGCAGACUCACCUGGAAUAUUAUGGGAGCACAAACACUUUGGUUACAUAUUAUGUGACUAUUCUGAUGCACCUCUAUGGAUGUCAUAUAAUGGAUAAAUGUAGUUCUUGUUCUGAUAAUUGAGAGCUGGAUUUUACCAAUCCACUCCUAAGAUGAAGUGAGUCUACAUGUGAUAUCUCUGCAUUGGAAACUGAAUGAAGAGAGGGACAUCUUGAGGAAAUACCAUUAAAAGGACUUGUGGCCCGUUUGAGUCCCUGCGUU